UUUGGUGCCUCCUGGAAUUCCUACCUCUACUGGCACAGGGAACAUGACUAUGAGUAUCCAACUAGCCCUGCCUUCCAAGUGUUCAUUGGCUAGAACUGAAUGCAAGCAGAUGAUGUAAGGUUACGUUAAAUAGAAAAGCAGAAACUAUGAAGUCUGAGAGACACCUAAUAAGGGACACACAGUUUCACAUCUGCUUUGUUGCUUAGCGACCAAGUUCAGCUUCAGAAGAUGGAUACCACAGAAUACGACAAUUCCAAAAAGACCUACCUUUGUGGAAUGAUUCAAGCUUCAGAAUUUUUCACGUUUUAUUAUGACUACUGAGGCUUUUUAUC
ensembl:lncRNA novel transcript